ensembl:snRNA U2 U2 spliceosomal RNA
AGCUCUUCUCAGCCUUUUUGGCUAAGAUCAAGUGUAGCAUCUGUUCUUAUAAGUUUAAUAUCUGAUACGUUCUCUAUCUGAGGACUAUAUAUUAAAUGGAUUUUUGAAGCAGGGAGUUGCAAUAGGAGCUUACUCUGCGGGGGGAAAAAAA